CGUCCCGUAGCUCAGUUGGUUAGAGUAUAUCCUUCUGAUAUGCGGAAAGUCAUGUGUUCAAACCCCAUUGGGACCA
rnacentral:tRNA from 1 species